rnacentral:rRNA from 1 species
GGCAGCCGCCGCGGGAACACCGGCGGCCCGAGUGGUGAUCGUGAUUAUUGGGUCUAAAGGGUCCGUAGCCGGUUUGGUCAGUCCUCCGGGAAAUCUGAUAGCUCAACUAUUAGGCUUUCGGGGGAUACUGCCAGACUUGGAACCGGGAGAGGUAAGAGGUACUACAGGGGUAGGAGUGAAAUCUUGUAAUCCCUGUGGGACCACCUGUGCGGGGGAAGCGUCUUACCAGAACGGGUUCGACGGUGAGGGACGAAAGCUGGGGGCACGAACCGGAUUAGAUACCCGGGUAGUCCCAGCCGUAAACGAUGCUCGCUAGGUGUCAGGCAUGGCGCGACCAUGUCUGGUGCCGCAGGGAAGCCGUGAAGCGAGCCACCUGGGAAGUACGGCCGCAAGGCUGAAACUUAAAGGAAUUGGCGGGGGAGCACAACAACGGGUGGAAGCCUGCGGUUUAAUUGGACUCAACGCCGGACAACUCACCGGGGGCGACAGCAAUAUGUAGGCCAAGCUGAAGACUUUGCCUGAAUCGCUGAGAAGAGGUGCAUGG